AUUUAGAGACGGUAAUUAUUUGGUAUUUUAAGGGUUUAAGUUAGUAGUAACUUUGGUGAAUUAGUUGGUAAGAAUAUUGAGCCUAUUAUGACAAUUAAAAACAUAGCUCAAUUAGAAGGUGGUAUAUAAGCAUAACUCUUGUGAGAAUUAAGGUAAAUCUUCAUUAUUCAUUUCACAAAAACAUAAGAGGUAGUGAGAGAAAGUGGAUCAAGAGGAUAGAAGAGGAAGCUAAAGAAAGAGAGAGAGGUUGGGGUUUGAAGAGCUAGUAGCUAAACUGAAGCCAAAAUUAUGAUUCUUGAAGACUAAAGAACGAAUCAGGUGUUGGAAAAUGGAAAUAUUCUCGCCAUUAUAUCCUUCCGAUUGAUAUUCAAAUUUUAUUCUUAUACGAGUAUCACCUAAUAUUGUACUAGUCUACGACUGUUGCAUACUUGCAUGUAAGAAUUGCAAGUAAUGUUGGUGGUGGUUAUGUAUAGUUGCAUAAUUUUUGUCUAAAUGCAUUAGACUCCCGGUGGUUUGGUCGUCUCUAGUUCCAUUACAUUUUUUUUUUUGCAAAAAUAAAUAAUAAAAUUUAUUGAUAACAAGUCAUGGCACAAGAAAUGUUCUGGACAACCAUAACACAAGAUACAAACCAGUAUUACUGCUCAAAACAUGUCAUUCUAAAAGAUACAUAAGAAACUAAAGUUAUAUAGUGAUGCAUUUGUUUAAAACUCCUCAUUCAAGGGACCAAGACACAAUACAUCCUAUGUGUAUCCUUAUCCUUAUUAUCUAACCAUUCUUAACAUUCCAAACCUAAUUUGCAAACUCUAACCCUAAAAAAUUGGUGACAAUGUUGCCUUAAUGAUUGUCAUUAGUGUUCCAACCACCUAUCUCACAUUACAACACAAAUUUGAAUUUCAACAAUGCAUUAAGUAUAUUUUUUUCCCAAUAAAUUAGUUUGUAAUUAAUGACAUGGUAGAAAUGUUUAUUUUCCAUAAACAUCCAGCUAUUGAAUGACUUUACAGCUUCCCUAGAUACAAACUCAUAAUAAUAAGAUAUGUAUUUUUGAAGCGGGUGUUACAAAAUUUAUGCUGAAGUCAUUCUCCUUCAUUGAACCUGUUGUUCGACCAAACAUGGAAGAGACACCAAAAGCGUAUGAAAUAAAAAAGAAGACGACCAAAAAUUGCAUACUAUAACUAGUAUGUUUGGCACAUCCUAUGACACUUGGUUUUCUUCAUAUUCUUUGUUGUUUUUGUUUGGAACCAGUACCGCGAUUUAAACAUUAAGGAUGAAUGUUAUUAAAAAGUGCAUUUAUCUUCUCUUGAA